rnacentral:RNase_P_RNA from 1 species
UAAGUAAGACAGGCGGUCGCGGCUGCGAAUUCCGAAAGGAUGCAGGCGAGGAAAGUCCGGGCUUCACAGGGCAGGAUGCCGGAUAACGUCCGGUGGAGGCGACUCCAAGGCCAGUGCAACAGAAAUGUACCGCCAGCCAGUGGCUGGUAAGGGUGGAAGGGCAGUGUAAGAGACUACCGCCCUGCUGGUGACAGCGGGGGCACAUGUAAACCCCAUCCGAAGCAAAACCGGAGUAAAACAAUGUGGCGGCCCGUCACGUUUUAGGUAGGUUGCUUGAACCUGCCGGCAACGGCAGGUCUAGAUAGAUGACCGCUCAACGACAUAACCCGGCUUAUCGUCUUGCUUAAGCC